GAUGAACGCUGGCGGCGUGCCUAAUACAUGCAAGUCGAGCGAACAGAUGAGGAGCUUGCUCCUCUGACGUUAGCGGCGGACGGGUGAGUAACACGUGGAUAACCUACCUAUAAGACUGGGAUAACUUCGGGAAACCGGAGCUAAUACCGGAUAAUAUAUUGAACCGCAUGGUUCAAUAGUGAAAGACGGUUUUGCUGUCACUUAUAGAUGGAUCCGCGCCGCAUUAGCUAGUUGGUAAGGUAACGGCUUACCAAGGCAACGAUGGGUAGCCGACCUGAGAGGGUGAACGGCCACACGGGAACUGAGACACGGCCCAGACUCCUACGGGAGGAAGCAGUAGGGAAUCUUCCGCAAUGGGGGAAAGCCGGAUGGAGCAACGCCGCGUGAGUGAUGAAGGUCUUCGGAUCGUAAAACUCUGUUAUUAGGGAAGAACAAAUGUGUAAGUAACUAUGCACGUCUUGACGGUACCUAGACAGAAAGCCACGGCUAACUACAUG
rnacentral:rRNA from 1 species